UUCAUGAUUCCAUCCUGACCUCACUGGGCAGAUGACCUCACCAAUGUGUCCUGGAAUCUUGUUUCUCCAGAGUUCUAACCCACUGGGGAAAAAUAGAAACAGGAAUGUCCAUGUCCAGUGGAGAAGCAAUUACAGCAGCCAGAACUCCUAUGUUCUGCACCCCAAAAGCAAAUUUGAUCCAUACUCCCAAUGGAGGAGAAGUGAUAGGAGGAAGAGGAUCAGAGUGCUCUGAACUCCAGCUCCAUCAGGACCCAGAGAGAAAGGAGGAAAAAUGGAGGGACAUUUGGAUAUAGUAAUAGGGUUAUUUGUGGCUUGGAAGUGAAGAGAGGAUUGGACCUGGUAGAAAAAGGGGGCAAUUAUGUACAAACUUAGACAGGUAGUUGUAGAGAUGAUGGUUAGUCCAUGUAUGCCGCAUUAGGAAAAUUGCUGUGGCUUUCAAUGGAGGGACUGGAGAUUCAGAACCCUGGUGGUGGGAACAGUGUGGAAUUAUACCUCUGUUGACAUGCAAUUUUAUAAAUCAAUAUUAAAUCACUAAUACAAUGAGAGAGAGAGAGAGAGAAAGAGAGAGAGAGAGACUUGAAACACUGCUUCAACACUUGUGAAGUUGCCCCCCUCUGAAAGUGGGGACUGGGGGCUUGAAUAUAGGUCCUUGCUUAUGGUAACAUGAGUACUCAGGUGCACCACUGCCUGGCCCCAUCCUAGAUAUUUAUCCUAGCCAUUCUGUCUUUACUCGGUAUUUCUAAUGUUGUAGAUAAUUUCCAAUUAAGAUAAGGAGUUGAAGCAAAGAAUGUAUUCUUUUGCAAAAGGGCAAGCAGCCAACAAUGGCAUUCAGCUAGCAUUGCUACCCUCACACCCUUUUCCUUUCUUUUAUACCUAACUCAGAACUGUCUGCCUUCACUCUUGGGCUGGUCUUCAGAGCUCAACAAUCUUCCCAUUGUCUAAAUAAGGAAGGGAAAAGAAUCUGAGGAUCUCUAUCAGAAGAACUCCACCAAGUUGCAGAUGCUACCAUGACACUAAUCUGACUUCUCUGGGCAGAUUACCUCACCUAUGCGUCCUGGAACCUCACCUCUCCAGAGCCCAGCCCCACUAGGGAAUGAUAGAAACAGGCUGAGAGUAUGGAUUGACCUGUCAAUGCCCAUAUCCAGCGAAGAAGCAUUUACAGAAGCCAGACUUCCUACCUUCUGCACUCCAUAAAGAUCUUUGGUCCAUACUCCCAAAGGGAUAAAGAAUAGGGAAGCUUCCAAUGGAGGGGAUAGGAUGUGGAACUCUGGUAGUGGGAAUUGUGUGGAAAUGUACUCCUCUUAUCCCACAAUCUUGUUAUCAUUAUUAAAUCACUAAUAAAAAUUAAA